UGUCUCUAGACUUCAGCGUGUACUCCCUCA
rnacentral:piRNA from 1 species